rnacentral:rRNA from 1 species
AACGAACGCUGGCGGCGUGGAUUAGGCAUGCAAGUCGAACGCGAAAGAGGGGGCAACUCCUCGAGUAGAGUGGCGAACGGGUGAGUAACGCGUGAAGAACCUGCCUUCAACUGGGGGAUAACACUCCCAACGGGGUGCUAAUACCGCAUGAGACCACGGGACUGCAUAGUCCUGAGGUCAAAGGUGGCCUCUAUUUAUAAGCUACCGGUUGAAGAUGGCUUCGCGUCCCAUUAGCUAGUUGGCGGUGUAAAGGACCACCAAGGCGACGAUGGGUAGCUGGUCUGAGAGGAUGGUCAGCCACACUGGGACUGAGAUACGGCCCAGACUCCUACGGGAGGCAG